rnacentral:rRNA from 1 species
CUAAAACGACUCUCGGCAACGGAUAUCUCGGCUCUCGCAUCGAUGAAGAACGUAGCGAAAUGCGAUACUUGGUGUGAAUUGCAGAAUCCCGUGAACCAUCGAGUCUUUGAACGCAAGUUGCNCCCCAAGCCUUCUGGCCGAGGGCACGUCUGCCUGGGUGUCACA